rnacentral:rRNA from 1 species
UUUUAACGGCCGCGGUACUCUGACCGUGCAAAGGUAGCAUAAUCAUUUGCCUUAUAAUUGAAGGCUAGAAUGAAUGGUUUGACAAGAAUACAACUGUCUCUUUACAAUUACAUAAAAUUUUAUCUGCAGUUGAAGAAGCCUGCAUUUGAAUAAAAGACAAGAAGACCCUAUCGAGCUUAAAAAAAACUGGUGGAAUAACAAACUAAUCCUAACUUAUAAAUAAAUAAAUAGUCAACUACUGGAAAUUUUGGUUGGGGCGACCGGGGAACAAAAAAAACUUCCUUUAUAAAAAUUUAGAUGCCCAAAUAUUGAUCCAGCAUUAUUUGAUUAAAGAAAUUAGUUACCGUAGGGAUAACAGCAUUAUCUUUUUUAAGAGUUCUUAUCGAAAAAAAGGUUUGUGACCUCGAUGUUGGACCAGAAUAUCCUAAAGAUGCAGCCGUCUUUAAGGGUUGGUCUGUUCGACCAUUAAAAUUCUACGUGAUCUGAGUUCAGACCGGA